GAACCUGAAACCGUGUGCUUACAAGUAGUCAGAGCCCGUUAAUGGGUGAUGGCGUGCCUUUUGUAGAAUGAACCGGCGAGUUACGAUUUGAUGCAAGGUUAAGCAGUAAAUGUGGAGCCGUAGCGAAAGCGAGUCUGAAUAGGGCGUUUAGUAUUUGGUCGUAGACCCGAAACCAGGUGAUCUACCCUUGGUCAGGUUGAAGUUCAGGUAACACUGAAUGGAGGACCGAACCGACUUACGUUGAAAAGUGAGCGGAUGAACUGAGGGUAGCGGAGAAAUUCCAAUCGAACCUGGAGAUAGCUGGUUCUCUCCGAAAUAGCUUUAGGGCUAGCCUCAAGUGAUGAUUAUUGGAGGUAGAGCACUGUUUGGACGAGGGGCCCCUCUCGGGUUACCGAAUUCAGACAAACUCCGAAUGCCAAUUAAUUUAACUUGGGAGUCAGAACAUGGGUGAUAAGGUCCGUGUUCGAAAGGGAAACAGCCCAGACCACCAGCUAAGGUCCCAAAAUAUAUGUUAAGUGGAAAAGGAUGUGGCGUUGCCCAGACAACUAGGAUGUUGGCUUAGAAGCAGCCAUCAUUUAAAGAGUGCGUAAUAGCUCACUAGUCGAGUGACACUGCGCCGAAAAUGUACCGGGGCUAAACAUAUUACCGAAGCUGUGGAUUGUCCUUUGGACAAUGGUAGGAGAGCGUUCUAAGGGCGUUGAAGCAUGAUCGUAAGGACAUGUGGAGCGCUUAGAAGUGAGAAUGCCGGUGUGAGUAGCGAAAGACGGGUGAGAAUCCCGUCCACCGAUUGACUAAGGUUUCCAGAGGAAGGCUCGUCCGCUCUGGGUUAGUCGGGUCCUAAGCUGAGGCCGACAGGCGUAGGCGAUGGAUAACAGGUUGAUAUUCCUGUACCACCUAUAAUCGUUUUA
rnacentral:rRNA from 1 species